AUUUAUAUAGUUUAAGAAAACAUUACACUUUCACUGUAAAAAUAAAGGCCUAACUUUUAUAAAUA
rnacentral:tRNA from 2 species